GAGGUUAUAGUUCAAUGGUAGAGUGUAUGCUUAGCGUGUAUGAGGUCCUGGGUUCAAUCCCCAGUAUCUCCA
rnacentral:tRNA from 1 species